UCUGGCGGCCACAGCGAAGAGGUCACACCCGUUCCCAUCCCGAACACGGCCGUUAAGCUCUUCCGCGCCGAUGGUAAUGAGGGGCUACCCCCUUGUGAGAGUAGGUCGCUGCCAGGC
rnacentral:rRNA from 1 species